GCGGGCGGCCAGGUUGGCUCGCCUCAGGGACGAGGGCCCCAGACCCGCUCUCGGGCCCUUCGCCCUGCGUGUCGUUUCUUAGCUGAGUCAGUUCAUUGGAGGUAAGCUGCUGUUGUCAACAUGACAGUUAAAGAUGAGAAAAGACAAAAGCUGAGAAAAUGCUUUGUGAAUGCCAAAUUUGGGCACACGAAGAUGCUUUGUGCGGACACACCGGUGGCGGCCCACUCCUCUGGCCGCUGAUGCUCUGCGCCCCCGGCCUUCUGCAUGGCUCUCCCCGCCCUGGGUCUGUUCUGCUCCAUGCAGCCCCGAUGAAGGCCCCG